rnacentral:rRNA from 1 species
UACGGAGGGUGCGAGCGUUGUCCGGAAUCACUGGGCGUAAAGGGCGCGUAGGCGGCCUGAUAAGUAGGGGGUGAAAUCCUGCGGCUUAACCGCAGGGCUGCCUUCUAGACUGUCAGGCUAGAGCACAGUAGAGGCAGGUGGAAUUCCCGGUGUAGCGGUGGAAUGCGUAGAGAUCGGGAAAAACAUCAGUGGCGAAGGCGGCUCGCUGGGCCGGUCCUGACGCUGAAACGCGAAGGCGUGGGGAGCGAACGGG